rnacentral:rRNA from 1 species
GGCGAACGCUGGCGGCGUGCUUAACACAUGCAAGUCGAACGGAAAGGCCCUGCUUUUGUGGGGUGCUCGAGUGGCGAACGGGUGAGUAACACGUGAGUAACCUGCCCUUGACUUUGGGAUAACUUCAGGAAACUGGGGCUAAUACCGGAUAGGAGCUCCUGCUGCAUGGUGGGGGUUGGAAAGUUUCGGCGGUUGGGGAUGGACUCGCGGCUUAUCAGCUUGUUGGUGGGGUAGUGGCUUACCAAGGCUUUGACGGGUAGCCGGCCUGAGAGGGUGACCGGCCACAAUGGGACUGAGGUACGGCCCAGACUCCUACGGGAGGCAGCAGUGGGGAAUAUUGCACAAUGGGCGGAAGCCUGAUGCAGCACCGCCGCGUGCGGGAUGACGGCCUUCGGGUUGUAAACCGCUUUCGCCUGUGACGAAGCGUGAGUGACGGUAAUGGGUAAAGAAGCACCGGCUAACUACGUG